CAGCAGCCACGGGAACACGUAGGGCGCAAGCGUUGUCCGGAAUUAUUGGGCGUAAAGAGCUCGUAGGCGGUCUGUCGCGUCUGGUGUGAAAUCCCGAGGCUCAACCUCGGGCUUGCAUCGGGUACGGGCAGACUAGAGUGCGGUAGGGGAGACUGGAAUUCCUGGUGUAGCGGUGGAAUGCGCAGAUAUCAGGAGGAACACCGAUGGCGAAGGCAGGUCUCUGGGCCGCAACUGACGCUGAGGAGCGAAAGCAUGGGGAGCGAACAGGAUUAGAUACCCCCGUAGUCCCUGUCUCUUAUAC
rnacentral:rRNA from 1 species